AGAGUUUGAUUCUGGCUCAGAAUGAACGCUGGCGGCGUGCCUAACACAUGCAAGUCGCACGAGAAAGGCUGGGUUUCGGCUUGGCCGAGUAAAGUGGCGCACGGGUGAGUAACGCGUGGGUGACCUACCCUCGAAUCUGGGAUAACCUCGCGAAAGCGGGGCUAAUACCGGAUACGUCCCUUCGGGGAGAAAGCCGGCCUCUCGAAGAAGCUGGUGUUCGGGGAUGGGCCCGCGUCCUAUCAGCUAGUUGGUAGGGUAACGGCCUACCAAGGCGACGACGGGUAGCUGGUCUGAGAGGAUGAUCAGCCACACUGGCACUGGAACACGGGCCAGACUCCUACGGGAGGCAGCAGUGAGGAAUUUUGCGCAAUGGGAGCAAUCCUGACGCAGCAACGCCGCGUGGGUGAAGAAGGCCUUCGGGUCGUAAAGCCCUGUCAGGAGGGAAGAACCUCGCUGGGGCGAAUAGCCUUGGCGACUGACGGUACCUCCAGAGGAAGCACCGGCUAACUCCGUGCCAGCAGCCGCGGUAAUACGGAGGGUGCGAGCGUUAUUCGGAAUUACUGGGCGUAAAGCGCGUGUAGGCGGCAGGGCAAGUCUGGUGUGAAAGCCCGGGGCUCAACCCCGGAAGUGCAUUGGAAACUGCUCUGCUUGAGUACCGGAGAGGAAGGGGGAAUUCCCGGUGUAGCGGUGAAAUGCGUAGAUAUCGGGAGGAAUACCAGUGGCGAAAGCGCCCUUCUGGACGGUUACUGACGCUGA
rnacentral:rRNA from 1 species